rnacentral:ncRNA from 1 species
UGUAGGUGGAGUCGCCGUUGGGAUACCACCCUUGUCGUACUGAGAUUCUAACCCGCACCCCUGAUCGGGGUGGGAGACAGUGUCAGGUGGGCAGUUUGACUGGGGCGGUCGCCUCCCAAAGCGUAACGGAGGCGCCCAAAGGUUCCCUCAGAAUGGUUGGAAAUCAUUCGUAGAGUGUAAAGGCAGAAGGGAGCUUGACUGCGAGACCUACAAGUCGAGCAGGGACGAAAGUCGGGCUUAGUGAUCCGGUGGUUCCGAAUGGAAGGGCCAUCGCUCAACGGAUAAAAGCUACCCCGGGGAUAACAGGCUUAUCUCCCCCAAGAGUCCACAUCGACGGGGAGGUUUGGCACCUCGAUGUCGGCUCAUCGCAUCCUGGGGCUGUAGUCGGUCCCAAGGGUUGGGCUGUUCGCCCAUUAAAGCGGUACGCGAGCUGGGUUCAGAACGUCGUGAGACAGUUCGGUCCCUAUCCGUCGCGGGCGUAGGAAAUUUGAGAGGAGCUGUCCUUAGUACGAGAGGACCGGGAUGGACGCACCGCUGGUGUACCAGUUGUUCCGCCAGGGGCACAGCUGGGUAGCUAUGUGCGGAAGGGAUAAGCGCUGAAAGCAUCUAAGCGUGAAGCCCCCCUCAAGAUGAGAUUUCCCAUCGCGUCAAGCAGUAAGAUCCCUUGAAGAUGACAAGGUAGAUAGGUCCGAGGUGGAAGCGUGGCGACACGUGCAGCUGACGGAUACUAAUCGAUCGAGGACUUAACUAA